rnacentral:rRNA from 1 species
GACGAACGCUGGCGGCGUGCUUAACACAUGCAAGUCGAACGGAAAGGCCCUGCUUUUGUGGGGUGCUCGAGUGGCGAACGGGUGAGUAACACGUGAGUAACCUGCCCUUGACUUUGGGAUAACUUCAGGAAACUGGGGCUAAUACCGGAUAGGAGCUCCUGCUGCAUGGUGGGGGUUGGAAAGUUUCGGCGGUUGGGGAUGGACUCGCGGCUUAUCAGCUUGUUGGUGGGGUAGUGGCUUACCAAGGCUUUGACGGGUAGCCGGCCUGAGGGGGUGCCCGACCAACUGGGACGGGGGUGAGGCCCCGAACUCUUAGGGGGGGAGGAGGGGGGGAGAAUUUACAAGGGGAGGGAAGCCGGAGGCGCAACGCCGGGGGGCGGAGGAAGGGCCUUGGGGUGGAAACCCACUUUCGCCUGGAAGGAGGGGGAAUGACGGGAAAGGGGGAAGAAGCCACGGCUAAACACGUG